UCACCAAUUUGUUUUUUUUUUUCAAUACCUAAAAAAAUUCUUCAUCAAUAUAAAUAUUUUUAAUAAUGGAAAUACGAAAUUUCAUUACAACUAGACAAUGGAAUCCUGACCCCCGAUUCCAUUGUCUAGUUGUAAUGAGUUAAAAAAAUGAGUUAAAAUUAAUGGGUUAAAAAACUCUAAAAAAACCACAACAGAAGACCAAAUGUGGGCCGCUGGAGGACUUUUGCGAGAUGUGCGUCUUCCAAGAUUCUCCAAAAUAAUCAAGGAAAUUGCAGAUGGAAUUAGAGCUGGUGGUGGACUUAUGCGAGAGGUGUGCCUAUCAAAAUUGCCCAAAAGAACUAACGAAAUUGCUGAUGGAAUUGGAACUGGUUCCCUGUCUAAUGAUAAGGAUGCCAAAUGUCAUGUUUACUAUUUUGGAAAUGAUGCAAACGAUAAGAAGACAUAAUGCGAAAAAGAAAACAACUCAGAAGAGAUUUAGAUGAUUUUAAUGUUAUGUUAUUUCAUUCCUUUUCACCACAAAUGAAGUAGGGUAAAUUCUUGUAUGAAGCUUCUUUGAAGCAUGUCGAUAUCCUCAUUCCCGAUGACUAUAAAGAUGAACACAAAGCUUCUUUGAAGCAUGUCGAUAUCCUCAUUCCCGAUGACUAUAAAGAUGAACACAAAGCUGGAUUGGGAGCAUGCAAGGAUGCAUCCGUGGGCGUUAAGAACAAUUGCGAAGCUGCGGGAACUAUCUUCACCUCCUUGAGGGUCAAAUAUUUAGAUUCGUAUUCCCUUAAAUAAACUUAGAUUUCGCCGAAUGCUGGCGACAUUUGUGAGGUACUAUGCCAUGCCAUGCCAGGGGCAAAAUUCUCUAAUAUCAAUUAAUGUUGCCCGAUUCAAGUUUUACUCAUUGAUAAGUGGCCUCCUUUUUAUACCCGAGACGGAACGGCAUGUCUUUGGGGAAAAGUUUUUAUUUACAUGGCUUCCAUGCAUGGCCUGCAUUAAGAGGGGAUAACCACCGCUGCAAAAUGUUAUGAUGUUCUCGCCCUCUGCGCUACUUCGGUGGUGCUAUGCCAUUCCCUUAAUAGAAUGUUCAUGGGAAAAAUUUGGUAUUUGACUGAAUUGAUCUUUACAUUCACAUAAGUUUUCUUUGGUCUGUGUCAAUUUUAUUAGCUUAAUAAUAUCAAAAUUGGCAUUAAGCGUAUGUUUAGAAAUAAUAAGAUUAGGGUUUUGGGUCAAUUUGUGAUCCAUUUCUGAUGAACUUAGCCAUCGCUUCUCAAUGAUCCAGCACAGACCGAUGAUCCGUUAUGAGCACUUAUCAGAACUUUUCCAUUUGGGAUGAGGCAUCUAAUGUCUUAAUACAUAAAGACUCCUUUCGUAUGUCAGCAGGGUGCCAGUUCUUCUGUCCUUCCAAACUGUUUUUCAGUUCUCGCGGAACAGAGGAAUGCUCAAAGUUCGAAAUGCCUCCCCAGUCUCGGAUAAAUGUUAAUUACAUUGCAUUAGAAGUAAAAUUGAAGGGGAAA